UACUGGCAUCUACCUCGAGAGGGAACAACCUGCCGAAAGGCGGGCUAAUACCCCAUAAGACCACAGGGUCGCAUGAUCUAGAGGUCAAAGCUCCGCAAGGGGCACUUGAAGAGGAGCCCGAGUCCUAUCAUGGUAGUUGGCGGGGUAAUGGCCCACCAAGCCGUUGACGGAUAGCCGGCCUGAAAGGGUGAUCGGCCACACUGGCACUGAGACACGGGCCAG
rnacentral:rRNA from 1 species